AGCGAACGCUGGCGGCAGGCCUAACACAUGCAAGUCGAACGAACUCUUCGGAGUUAGUGGCGGACGGGUGAGUAACACGUGGGAACGUGCCUUUAGGUUCGGAAUAACUCAGGGAAACUUGUGCUAAUACCGAAUGUGCCCCUCGGGGGAAAGAUUUAUCGCCUUUAGUGCGGCCCGCGUCUGAUUAGCUAGUUGGUGAGGUAACGGCUCACCAAGGCGACGAACAGUAGCUGGUCUGAGAGGAUGACCAGCCACACUGGGACUGAGCCACGGCCGAGACUCCGACGGGAGGCAGCAGUGGGGAAUCUUGCGCAAUGGGCGAAAGCCUGACGCAGCCAUGCCGCGUGAAUGAUGAAGGUCUUAGGAUUGUAAAAUUCUUUCACCGGGGACGAUAAUGACGGUACCCGGAGAAGAAGCCCCGGCUAACUUCGUGCCAGCCGCCGCCGUAACAC
rnacentral:rRNA from 1 species